GAUGAACGCUGGCGGUCUGCUUAACACAUGCAAGUCGAACGGGCGCAGCAAUGCGUUAGAGGCGGACGGGUGAGUAACACGUGAGAAUCUGCCAACGGGACGGGGAUAACAGGGGGAAACCGCUGCUAAGACCCGAUAAACCGAAAGGGGAAAAAGAAAUUGCCAGUUGAUGAGCUCGCGUCGGAUUAGCUAGUUGGUAGUGUAAGGGACUACCAAGGCGACGAUCCGUAGCCGGUCUGAGAGGACGAUCGGCCACACUGGGACUGAGACACGGCCCAGACUCCUACGGGAGGCAGCAGUGGGGAAUUUUCCGCAAUGGGCGAAAGCCUGACGGAGCAAGACCGCGUGAGGGAGGAAGGCUCUUGGGUUGUAAACCUCUUUUCUCAAGGAAGAAGCAAUGACGGUACUUGAGGAAUCAGCAUCGGCUAACUCCGUGCCAGCAGCCGCGGUAAUACGGAGGAUGCAAGCGUUAUCCGGAAUGAUUGGGCGUAAAGCGUCCGCAGGUGGCAGUUCAAGUCUGCCGUUAAAGACUCCAGCUUAACUGGAGGAAGGCGGUGGAAACUGAACAGCUAGAGUGCGGUAGGGGCAGAGGGAAUUCCCGGUGUAGCGGUGAAAUGCGUAGAGAUCGGGAAGAACACCAGUGGCGAAAGCGCUCUGCUGGACCGCAACUGACACUCAGGGACGAAAGCUAGGGGAGCGAAUGGGAUUAGAUACCCCAGUAGUCCUAGCCGUAAACGAUGGAUACUAGGUGUUGUGCGUAUCGACCCGCGCAGUGCCGCAGCUAACGCGCUAAGUAUCCCGCCUGGGGAGUACGCACGCAAGUGUGAAACUCAAAGGAAUUGACGGGGGCCCGCACAAGCGGUGGAGUAUGUGGUUUAAUUCGAUGCAACGCGAAGAACCUUACCAGGACUUGACAUGUCCGGAAUCCUUGGGAAACCAGGGAGUGCCUUCGGGAACCGGAACACAGGUGGUGCAUGGCUGUCGUCAGCUCGUGUCGUGAGAUGUUGGGUUAAGUCCCGCAACGAGCGCAACCCUCGUUUCUAGUUGCCAGCAUUAAGUUGGGCACUCUGGAGAGACUGCCGGUGACAAACCGGAGGAAGGUGGGGAUGACGUCAAGUCAGCAUGCCCCUUACGUUCUGGGCUACACACGUACUACAAUGCUUCAGACAAAGGGCAGCCAGCCAGCGAUGGUCAGCAAAUCCCAGAAACUGAGGCUCAGUUCAGAUCGCAGGCUGCAACUCGCCUGCGUGAAGGCGGAAUCGCCAGUAAUCGCCGGUCAGCAUACGGCGGUGAAUACGUUCCCGGGCCUUGUACACACCGCCCGUCACACCAUGGGAGCUGGCGGUGCCCGAAGUCGUUAUCCUAACCCCUCGGGGAGGGAGACGCCGAAGGCAAAGCUGGUGACUGGGGUGAAGUCGUAACAAGGUAGCCGUACCGGAAGGUGUGGCUGGAUCACCUCCU
rnacentral:rRNA from 1 species